rnacentral:rRNA from 1 species
CAGUCGAACGGGCUCAUAUUGAAACCUAGUGAUGUAUGAGUUAGUGGCGGACGGGUGAGUAACGCGUGGAGAACCUGCCGUAUACUGGGGGAUAACACUUAGAAAUAGGUGCUAAUACCGCAUAAGCGCACAGCUUCGCAUGAAGCAGUGUGAAAAACUCCGGUGGUAUACGAUGGAUCCGCGUCUGAUUAGCUGGUUGGCGGGGUAACAGCCCACCAAGGCGACGAUCAGUAGCCGGCCUGAGAGGGUGAACGGCCACAUUGGGACUGAGACACGGCCCAAACUCCUACGGGAGGCAGCAGUGGGGAAUAUUGCACAAUGGGGGAAACCCUGAUGCAGCGACGCCGCGUGAGUGAAGAAGUAUUUCGGUAUGUAAAGCUCUAUCAGCAGGGAAGAAAAUGACGGUACCUGACUAAGAAGCCCCGGCUAACUACGUGCCAGCAGCCGCGGUAAUACGUAGGGGGCAAGCGUUAUCCGGAUUUACUGGGUGUAAAGGGAGCGUAGACGGCAGCACAAGUCUGGAGUGAAAUCCCGGGGCUUAACCCCGGAACUGCUUUGGAAACUGUGCGGCUGGAGUGCAGGAGGGGUAAGCGGAAUUCCUAGUGUAGCGGUGAAAUGCGUAGAUAUUAGGAGGAACACCGGUGGCGAAGGCGGCUUACUGGACUGUAACUGACGUUGAGGCUCGAAAGCGUGGGGAGCAAACAGGAUUAGAUACCCUGGUAGUCCACGCCGUAAACGAUGAUUACUAGGUGUCGGGGGAUCAA